UGCGCGGGCUACCAUGCAGUCGACGGUAACAGGAGACCUUGCUUCUUUGCUGACGAGUGGCGGACGGGUGACUAAUGUCUGGGAAGCUGCCUGAUGGGGGGGGAUUACUACUGGAAACGGUAACUAAUACCGCAUAACGUCACCAGACCAAAGAGGGGGACCUUCAGGCCUCUUGCCAUCGGUUGUGCCCAGAUGGGAUUAGCUUGUAGGUGGGGUAACGGCUCACCUAGGCCACGAUCCCUAUCUGGUCUGAAACGAUGACCGUCCUCACUGGAACUGAGACACGGUCCCGACUCCUACGGGAAGCAGCAGUGGGGAAUAUUGCUCAAUGGAAAUAAGCCAAAUGCUGCCAUGCCGCGUGUAUGAAGAAUGCCUUCGUUUGUAAAGUACUUUCUGCGGGGAGGGAGUUUUUUAAGUGAAUACCUUUGCUCAUUCACCUUGCCGGGGAGAAGGCCCACCCCCCCUCCUUGCCA
rnacentral:rRNA from 1 species